AUUGAACGCUGGCGGCAGGCCUAACACAUGCAAGUCGAACGGUAGCACAGAGAGCUUGCUCUCGGGUGACGAGUGGCGGACGGGUGAGUAACGUCUGGGAAACUGCCCGAUGGAGGGGGAUAACUACUGGAAACGGUAGCUAAUACCGCAUAACGUCGCAAGACCAAAGUGGGGGACCUUCGGGCCUCACACCAUCGGAGGUGCCCAGAUGGGAUUAGCUAGGAGGUGGGGUAAUGGCUCACCUAGGCGACGAUCCCGAGCUGGUCUGAGAGGAUGACCAGCCACACUGGAACUGAGACACGGUCCAGACUCCUACGGGAGGCAGCAGUGGGGAAUAUUGCACAAUGGGCGCAAGCCUGAUGCAGCCAUGCCGCGUGUAUGAAGAAGGCCUUCGGGUUGUAAAGUACUUUCAGCGGGGAGGAAGGCGGUGAAGUUAAUAGCUUCACCGAUUGACGUUACCCGCAGAAGAAGCACCGGCUAACUCCGUGCCAGCCGCCGCCGUAA
rnacentral:rRNA from 1 species